UCAGGAUAUGCAUGUUCUUGGGUGGAUAUUUGAUGACUUGGAGAAGUAAGAAACAAAAUGUUGCAAGUAUCAGCCAUGGCAUCGCCAUGGCGGAUUUCGGUGGCAAUUUUCCUGACCACCGCCACAACAAGGCGGUGGUGAAUCAGAUUUUUCAUUGCAGCCCAUGGCGGCCGCUAUCGCCAUGUCGGAGUUCUAACGAAUAUCGGAAAUAUCCAAAAUAUCGGAAAAAAAUGGUGGCAGCAGAGCAUGAAGAAGAAGAGUUGCAGUUGAUGAAGAAGAAGGUCGGGGCUGAUGAAGAAGAAGGUCGGGGCUGAUGAAGAAGAAGGUCGGGGCUGAUGAAGAAGAAGGUCGGGGCUGAAGUAGAAAAAGGUUGUGGAAGACCUAAACCUAGUUUUUAAAAAACAAAAGUUGGUUGAUUCUCCCUGCACCCAAUCAAUUCUGAUUGGCACCCAAUUGUCUGUUUGAAGUGUCCAUAACACCCUUAAUGAUCUAUGUGAAAUGACCAUAACACCCUUAAUGAAGUGAAAUUAGGUUACAUGCACCCAACAACCAAGCACAGUGCACAAUGUCGUUCAUUGUUUUUUGUGGACAUUCUCUUCCGGAAGCCUUACACACACGCAAGCACCGUUCAACGUCGUUCAGGCAACGCUUUUGAGCCACUUCGACAGUGACAGAGAGCGAAGGCACCGGAGAAGUAGAUGCGUCGCAGAACAGUGAGUUUUUGCAUUUCUUGUGGGUUCCGAAUAUUUUUGUCCAUAACUGUGUUAUGAGUUUUGGAUAUAAACAUCUGUAUGCACUGCAGAUGAGCUUAUCCAGAAGUCUUUUUCAUUAGGUCCGGAUUUGAAAAUCCAAAAUGUGUUUAUUGGGUAUUUUUUUUCUGCUCUCAAUGAUGUUCUAUCUCUGCCCUCAAUGGUUAAUGCAUUUGGAAGUAUAUAAAUGAUAAUAUAAAUAUUUUAGAAUGAAAAGCAAGUGCUUUGGUUUUAUGGAUACCUUUUAAUGUUCAGUUUACUUGUAUUUUAUAAAUUGGUUUGGUUUAGUGGUUUUAAUCCAUUAAAAGUAACAAAAUCAUCACACUGCCAAAAAAGAAAGUUCAGGAUGAUUGGCUUCUGGAUAUGUAUAUCCAUAAGCAUGAUGGUGCCUUCCGGAUAAAAAUGUUCGUAGUCAAAGAGUGCUAGUUCCGGAUCCAAAAUAUCGGAAAAAAAUGGUGGCAGCAGAGCAUGAAGAAGAAGAGUUGCCGUUGAUGAAGAAGAAGGUCGGGGCUGAUGAAGAAGAAGGUCGGGUUGAUGUAGAAAAAGGUUGUGGAAGACCUAAACCUAGUUUUUAAAAACAAAAGUUGGUUGAUUCUCCCUGCAC
rnacentral:lncRNA from 1 species